GCGGUUGUAGCUCAGUUGGUAGAGCCCCGGAUUGUGAUUCCGGUUGUCGAGGGUUCAAUCCCMNUCAGUCGCCCCA
rnacentral:tRNA from 1 species